GAAGUAUAAAAACUCGAUGCAGGUAUGUAAAUGAAAAUUGUUAUCAGACGUUAAGCAGUGUUUGAAAAACCCUGGAAGGUAAACAUGCUGAAGUUGACAGCUACGGUGCUUUUACUAGUUUCAAUGACGUUCACAUUUUCGGAUGCACAAUGCAACGAAACGUGCGCCAAUUAUGGCGCCGAAUGCAGAACUUGCGGUACGUGCAACGCUACCUGCCUCAACCCAAACCCUAUUUGUUCCCAGGUAUGCAGAGUAGGUUGUUUCUGCCCUACGGGUAUGGUUUAUAAUUCUAAUGGCUACUGCGUUAAUCCUUCGGAAUGUUGACUUGCGAAAUAAUCGACGGAAAUUGUUGUACAGAGAAUAUAAUCGAGAAAUUUUUACGUCCAAAAUAUGUACCGCGUUAAAAUUGUGAUAAAUUGUAUCGAUGAAUAAAAAAGAACCAACAAUCAAUCUAGUCAUUCAAUAUCAAAUUUAAACGAAGAAACAUUUACGGCUCCCGCUACUUUCGAUUUUUCUUUGAAAGUUGCUUGUUCGACGCUGUAAUGUUUCCAGAAAUAAUAUUUCAACGAUGGUCAUUUUAUGGGGGGUUUAACAGAGGUAUAUAAGUACUGCACUGGAAAAGGAAACUACAGAGACAAUAACAGACCGUCAAAGUCAAGAUGAUUACGUUGGCGUUGAUAGAAUCCGCACUUUUUACAGGUUUUUAUAGUCACCUUCCUUGUCAGAUGAAAUACAAAAUCAAGUAAGUGCGAUUCUGGAUACUACCAAGUCAGCCAAAGCUUCAACGAUACUUUCGACCCGAGAAGUGAGGGUUCUCCACAACACUGAGGAACCAUAAUUCAAUGUGCCCGAUGUACCCUUGUAACUAAAAUAUAUAACGUCUCAUAUUUUGUAGGAAAAUAUUAUUACCGCCAACGCAUUGUUGACGGUAGAUCGUGGUAGACGAUCAUAUAAACAGUCUUGCAAUUGUCCGAAACUACCUCGAUAGGUGUACAAGUCCAGUAAAGACAAACGCGGCAUAACAAAAAUAUGUUCGUUUGUCGGUAAAGCCUGUUGAUUCAGACGUGUCAAGUGUUCUCUUUUCAUCCAAAAAUGUAUGUAAACCUCACAGAAGUCGAAAAAUUGUCAAAACCGAGGCGAAUCGAAGUCGAGAUGAUGGCAUCAACGUUCCUUAUUCCUAUCAUCGCGGGGAUCUUUCUGAUAGCCACCGUUGUAAAACCUGCGGAUGCCAAAGCAUGUGCACCAUUAUGUGGACCUCAUUCAACGCCAUCAAACUGCUCACCGUGCAAUGAGAGUUGCGAUGAAACUAAGAUGGCUUGUCCGCUGUUAUGCUCCGCAAAGCCCAUGUACUGUAGCUGUGAUUCUGGAUUCUGCCGAAACAGCAAAGGUGAUUGCGUGAAGAAGCCGGCAAAGUGCGAUUGAGCACGAUAAUCGACCACGCAUGCAGUAGACUUCCAUGAUGUAAAAUGAAUUACGAAUUCAGCGGAAGCGAUGUCUAUGUUCAAAUCUACAAGAAUUUUUUUGCAUGCAACUAUUCGGUUUAUAUAAGCCGCUGAUUGUGUUUAUUAAAAUUAUGUUAUACUGACGGAUGUGUUUUUUACUGUUAUAUGGAUGUUGAUGCGAUAAUCUGACCUUGUGUGAUGAGAUAAAAGUGCAAUUUGCGAAAAUAUAGGGUGUUCUUAUCACUACCGCAUCACUCGGAAUAAUACGCUGAAAACCUAUUUAACCAGAGUGAAUAACACUUCUUAUGGUUACGUUCAAUCGACUGCUGUCCAUGUUGACGAGAAUGUAAAGGUUGACAAUUAAAAUACGUGCCUAUAGGUCAACCAAUAAGUGAUAUUGUGUUUUUAGAAAUAACACGAUAUGAGCAGGAAUCCUCGAAUAAAAGUGACACUGGGCAACGCUUUCCUGAAGUUACUAAAUAAGAGUAAUUGGAUUUACUCACGAUUUUCAAAUUGAAUAAUAGUCAUCGAUGACAACGGAAUUAUUAAAUCGCAUGGGUGAAAUAACAAAGUGAAAAAUUUCAACGUGGAUAACAAUCUCGGAAAUUUAAGUUGCAAAUUAUUACUUACUUACUUUGCUGCCACGGACUUUCGAUGAUCACCGAUUCAGUUUGCAACUUCAAAUACGAAAUCUUCGAGUCAUGUCUUUUUCCAUAUAAGCCUGAUGGAAUUCGUCCUGUGAGAUGUGCAAUCAAGUCUGCAACAUAGGAGUAAAAUUCACUCUUAGAUUGCUAGAAAGUCGUUAUAUUUCACGAUCGUGUCUUAUCUUUUUGGUCGGUAAAAACGUGCUUAUAGCAUAAGGGGCUGGUGCAAUAUAUGCCAAACACUUACGACACUGGAAAGUGUCGUAAAAAAUAAUACUUAGUGAAGGUUAAAAGAUUUCGAAAACUAAGACGCCCACGCAAUUAUCCAUCAUUGGAAAAAAUGGCUGUGAUAUUAUGUUUAGACUUUAUGACACUCGGUGCAUGUGCAAAAAGUCAAGUAAUCGUGAAUACGUGUCGGCGAAAUAAAUAUUUUUAUGCGACUGACGUCACUGUAGUUCCAACAAUGACAGUACUGUUCUUUAUAAAAGAGACUGUCGACACCGACAGAGCUGUCUAUAAACGGCGUUAGCUCAGGAACUGCUCAUUUCACGCAUCGAUAUCAGGAUGAAACCAGUGUCAGCAUUCUUGGUCUUAAUUGCGGGUGUUCUGACAAUUUUUGUCCUUGGGGCCCAGAGUCAAUCUGAGUGCGGGUCCGGAAUGUACGCCAGGAACUGUACACCUUGUAAUGUAGUAUGUGGUGGAUUUGGCGGAGAUUGCAAAGGCUCCUGCGGCAGCCAGGAUAUAUACUGCCAGUGUGACUCUGGGUAUGUUCUUCCCUACGAAAACGCAAACUGCUGCGUACCGAGAGAUAAUUGCUCUACUGCGACAUGCUGAAGAUAUUGAUGGUGUUUCGGAACUCAAUGAGCAUCUAAAAACUACUUAGGAUUAACUACGUUAUUCUGAUAACUGGGAUAUAGCUUUUGAGAACAAUAAACAUGCACUAGAAAAAUA
rnacentral:misc_RNA from 1 species